CUCGACGGGAACGCGAAGCGAGCGCGGCGAGGAAGCAAGCCAAGCAAAGUGUGCCAGGUGAGAGUCGAGCCGAGCACAAUUAUGUGACGAAAGGCCCGCCCUUCUACCCUGAGGGGCCACAUCCAGGUUGCAUCAUCGGCUUGACCAACAGAAGUCGCUCAAUAUAACCGUUCUUUGCAGCGCAACCAGUACACAUCGUGUGAGAAAACCGUGUCCAAAUCAACAGAGGCUAAUAUAGUCCCCAAGAUACACCAUGUAUCGACGCAAAUUGAGAAACGAAUUCAAGGUUUCUACAACGCCUGCCCACCAGCGAAUGUGCCACAGCCAAUCAAAGAGUGCCAACCUCAGCAGAAGCAGUUUCCAGAGAGAGGUAAGCACAGCUGGCCACGGCGACCA